AUAUGAAAAAAUGAUGGCUAUAUGGUUCCAUGAGAUAAAACGAUGCGCACCACGUUGGAUUUUCUAUAUCGUGCGCUGUGCACAAAGAAUAUCUCUUUCCGGCGGAUCCGUUAAGUCAGGCCCUUGGUACCGAUGACUUAGAACCAGAAUUGGACGUCCACCGGCUCUCUCAAACGCUAUAAAAAGUUGAAAGGCCCUCGUUGCUCCC
rnacentral:lncRNA from 1 species